rnacentral:rRNA from 1 species
GAACUUAAGCAUAUCAAUAAGCGGAGGAAAAGAAACUAACAAGGAUUCCCUCAGUAACUGCGAGUGAAGUGGGAAAAGCUCAAAUUUGAAGUCUGGCAGCUCUUUCAGGUUGUCCGAGUUGUAAUCUAGAGAAGCGUUACCUGUGUUGGACCGUGUAAAAGUCUUCUGGAAUGGAGCAUCAUAGAGGGUGAGAAUCCCGUCUUUGACAUGGACUACCAGCAUGCCAAGGUGCACUCUCAGAGAGUCGAGUUGUUUGGGAAUGCAGCUCAAAAUGGGUGGUAAAUGCCAUCUAAAGCUAAAUAUUGGCGAGAGACCGAUAGCGAACAAGUACCGUGAGGGAAAGAUGAAAAGAACUUUGGAAAGAGAGUUAAACAGUACGUGAAAUUGCUGAAAGGGAAACGCUUAAAGUCAGUCGCAUUAGCUGGAAAUCAGGCUUGCUUUUGCAAGGUGCACUUUCUAGUUGAUGGGUCAGCAUCAAUUUUAAUCGUUGGAUAAAGUCAUUGGGAAUGUGGCAUCUUUGGAUGUGUUAUAGCCCAGUGUUGAAUACAGCGGUCAGGAUUGAGGAAUUCAGCAUGCCUCUAGGGGCCAGGUUUCGACCAUGUUCAUGCUUAGGAUGCUGGCAUAAUGGCUUUAAUCGACCCGUCUUGAAACACGGACCAAGGAGUCUAACAUGCCUGCGAGUGUUUGGGUGAAAAACCCAUACGCACAAUGAAAGUGAAAGUUGAGAUCCUUAGGGAGCAUUGACGCCCGGACCAGACCUUCUGUGACGGAUCCGCGGUAGAGCAUGUAUGUUGGGACCCGAAA